CUCGGUGAACUGCCGGGAACAAGUGUACUCGCGGUGUCGCUGCAUGCAUGUCCCUUUAAUCUCUUUUCCGAGAGACGAGUGUCAAGUGUACUUCCAUUUAAUCUCGAGCUUAGCUCGAGUCGAGGAUAGGGUGCAGGGAAGUGAACACGGCUUUAAAACGACGGCAAAGUGCUCCUCGUGCGGAAGACCUGCGCUAAUUGAACCCUGCGCCUAGAGAGGGAGGCAGCAGCCGCCAUGACCAUCGAGGAGGGUCUUCUUCGACAUCGUUACGAGAACAUCAACAGCAGCAGAAGUUAUUAAAGCGAACAAAAAGUUUGGCCGUAAUAUCCGAGGAGAACAGAGCAAAUACCCGGCCGAGCAAUUACUACAGACUUGGCGAGCCUGCAUUGUCGGAGGCAUUCAGGAGGCAGCAGCUCAUACCAAGAGCUAAGCUCAUCAAUCGGCAUUCCCUGAAGGAUAGGU